rnacentral:rRNA from 1 species
CGUAGGUAACAGAGAGUUCGAUCCCGGCUCAGAUUGAACGCUGGCGGGAUGCUUUACACAUGCAAGUCGAACGGCAGCACGGACUUCCGGUCUGCGGCGAGUGGCGAACGGGUGAGUAAUGUAUCGAACGCCUAGUAGCGGGGGAUAUCCGCGCGAAAGCGUAGCUAAUACCGCAUACGUCUCUCAGGGGAAAGCGGGGACCUUCGGGCCUCGCACUAUUAGGAGCGGCCGAUUAGCUGUUGGUAGCGGCUCACCAAGGCGACGAUCCGGUAGAAGUUCAGAGGGCGACGACCAGCCACACGGAUCGAGACACGGCCCCAGACCUCUACGGGAGGCAGCAGUGGGAAUUUUGACAAUGGGGAAACCCCGAUCCAGCCAUCCCGCGUGUGUGAUGACACUCGGGUUGAAGCACUUUUGGCAGGAAAGAAACGGUACGGGAUAAUACCCCGUGCAACUGACGGUACCUCCGCAGAAUAAGCACCGGCUAACUACGUGCCAGCAGCCGCGGUAAUACGGUGGGUGUGCAAGCGUUAAUCGGAAUUACACAUUAAGUGCAGCGUGCGCAGGUUCGGAAAGAAAGAUGUGAAAUCCCAUGAGCUUAACUUGGAACUGCAUUUUUAACUGAGCUAGAGUGUGUCAGGAGGGAGGUGGAAUUCCGCGUGUAGCAGUGAAAUGCGUAUGCGGAGGAACACCGAUGGCGGAAGGUAGCCUCCUGGGAUAACACUGACGCUCAUGCACGAAAGCGUGGGGAGCAAACAGGAUUAGAUACCCCGGUAGUCCACGCCCCUAAACGAUGUCAACUAGCUGUUAGCCUCUCGGCCUGGUGCGAAGCUGACCGCCUGUGAGAAUACGGUCGCAAGAUUAAAACUCAAAGGAAUUGACGGGGACUCGGCACAAGCGUGGUGGAUGAUGGAUGCACUUAUGCAACGUGCGAAAACCUUACCACCUUUGUAUUAUUGCCCGGAAUCCCGAAGCAGAGAUUUGGGGAGUGCUCGCAAGAGAACCGAACACAGGUGCUGCAUGGCUGUCGUCAGCUCGUGUCGUGAGAUGUUGGGUUAAGUCCCGGCAACGAGCGCAACCCUGUCAUUAGUUGCUACGAAAGGGUACCACGAGACUGCCGGUGACAAACUGAGGAAGGUGGGGAUGACGUCAAGUCCUCAUGGCCCUUAUGGGUAGGGCUUUACACGUCAUACAAUGGUCGGGACAGGUCGCCAGUCCCGCGAGGGGAGACAAUCCCAGAAACCCGGAUCGCAGUCCGGAUCGCAGUCUGCAACUCGACUGCGUGAAGCUGGAAUCGCUAGUAAUCGCGGAUCAGCAUGUCGCGGGUGAAUACGUUCCCGGGUCUUGCGUAUACACACCGCCCGUCACACCAUGGGAAGUGGUUUUACCAGAAGUAGUUAGCCUAACCGGUAAGGAGGGCGAUUACCACGGUAGGAUGUUAUGACUGGGGUGAAGUCGUAGUCAGCGUAG